rnacentral:rRNA from 1 species
UAUUCCUACGGGACGCAGCAGUGAGGAAUAUUGGUCAAUGGGCGGUAGCCUGAACCAGCCAAGUAGCGUGAAGGAUGAAGGUUCUAUGGAUUGUAAACUUCUUUUAUAAAGGAAUAAAGUGAGGCACGUGUGCCUUUUUGUAUGUACUUUAUGAUUAAGGAUCGGCUAACUCCGUGCCAGCAGCCGCGGUAAUACGGAGGAUCCGAGCGUUAUCCGGGUUUAUUGGGUUUAAAGGGAGCGUAGAUGGGUUGUUAAGUCAGUUGUGAAAGUUUGCGGCUCAACCGUAGAAUUGUAAUUGAUAAUGG